rnacentral:rRNA from 1 species
UUUGAUGUUGUUUCUUGUCAGGGAGCAAUCCUUGCUUGUUAAAUGACCGCUUUCCAUAUUGUGGGUUUCUACUUUGUAAAUGGGUUUACUCUUGUUUAUAAAGUACCACUCCGUCUCUGAGAGCAAAUUGGAGUGCUCAAAGCAGGCUUUAUAGCUUUGAACAUUUUAGCUUGGAAUGACAAGAUAUGACUUUCGUUUUAUUUUGUUGGUUAUGAAAUGAAAGUAAUGAUUAACGGGAACAGUUGCGGGGGUACUCGUAUUGAAAGGUCAGAGGUGAAAUUCUUGGAUUCUUUCAAGACGAACGACUGCGAAAGCAUUUACCAAGGAUGUUUUCAUUAAUCAAGAACGAAAGCUCGGGGAUCGAAGAUGAUUAGAUACCAUCGUAGUCCGACGCCAUAAGCGAUGCCGACUCGGGAUUGUUUUUUGUUGCCUUUAAACUAAACAAAAGCAGCACCGUAUGAGAAAUCAAAGUCUUUGGGUUCCGGGGGGAGUAUGGUCGCAAGGCUGAAACUUAAAGGAAUUGACGGAAGGGCACACCAGAGGUGGAGCCUGCGGUUUAAUUUGACCCAACACGGGGAAACUUACCAGGUCCAGACAUGAUGAGGAUUGACAGUUUGAAAGCACUUUCUUGAUUUCAUGGGUGGUGGUGCAUGGCCGUUCUUAGUUGGUGGAGUGAUUUGUCUGGUUGAUUCCGAUAACGAACGAGACGGGGAAAGUUUACUAGUCUAUUUGGAUAACUCACGUUAUCCUAGACUUCUUUACUUGACAACUUGGUUUUACCAAGAGGAAGCGCCCCGCAAUAACAGGUCUGUGAUGCCCUUAGAUGUUCUGGGCUACACGCGCGCUACAAUGACGAAUUCAACGAGUUUUUACAUUCCUUAUCCGGAAGGAUGUGGGUAAUCUUUUCAAUGUUCGUCGUGAUGGGGCUAGAUUUUUGCAAUUAUUAAUCUUCAACGAGGAAUCUCUAGUAUGUGCAAGUCAUCAGCUUGCGCAGAAUGCGUCCCUGCCCUUUGUACACACCGCCCGUCGCACCUACCGAUUGGACGAUCCGGCAAGACGUUUGGAGUUGUGUUUUACGGUAGUAAUACUGUUUAAUGUGACAAAGCUCUUCAAACCUUAUCGUCU